CCCUUAGAUGUUCUGGGCCGCACGCGCGCUACACUGAUGCAUUCAACGAGCCUAUCCUUGACCGACAGGUCCGGGUAAUCUUUGAAUCUGCAUCGUGACGGGGAUAGAUUAUUGCAAUUAUUAAUCUUCAACGAGGAAUGCCUAGUAGGCGCAAGUCAUCAGCUUGCGUCGAUUACGUCCCUGCCCUUUGUACACACCGCCCGUCGCUCCUACCGAUUGGGUGUGCUGGUGAAAUGUUCGGAUCGGCCGUUUGUCGCGGUUUCCGCGUCAUGUGGCUGAGAAGUUCAUUAACCCCUCCCACCGAGAGGAAGGAGAAGUCGUAACA
rnacentral:rRNA from 1 species